rnacentral:rRNA from 1 species
ACGCCGCGUGAGGGUGAGGCCUCUGGGCUGUAAACCUCUUUUAUCAAGGAAGAAGAUAGACGGAACUUGAUGAAUAAGCCACGGCUAAUUCCGUGCCAGCAGCCGCGGUAAUACGGGAGUGGCAAGCGUUAUCCGGAAUUAUUGGGCGUAAAGCGUCCGCAGGCGGUCUGUCAAGUCUGCUGUUAAAGCGUGGAGCUUAACUCCAUUUCGGCAGUGGAAACUGACAGACUAGAGUGUGGUAGGGGCAGAGGGAAUUCCCGGUGUAGCGGUGAAAUGCGUAGAUAUCGGGAAGAACACCAGUGGCGAAGGCACUCUGCUGGGCCAUAACUGACGCUCAUG